AAUUAUAAUUCCAAUUAUUAAAGAAAGAUGAGUAAGAAUAUUGUUGGUGUUCUUAACUCAAGAGAAAUAUUUUCAAGUAUUUAUUUAUUAAAUUUUGAAAACCCGGCUAAGUGAAUCAUAGAAUGUUAAGCACUACACCAUGACUUAAGAUUAGAUACAAGGAGACCUAUUGAGAAUAGAUUUCUUGUAGGCUUCGAGCAUCAGAAGGAUUAGCACUGCUAUUCCGAUUCAGAGAUAAGGUUAAACGACAGGCUUUGCCUAUACAGGUUGAGCAGUUGAUGGAAUGGAAUGAUGUUGAGCGGGUGUUCCUUUGACAUUUCAAGAAAUGUAACCUUGAGUAUACAUCUUCAUAUGUAUAUCUCACACGUUUUCCGCUGCAAAACACUUUGAUUAGGAUAGCUCUAUGAUAUGAAGUUGUGAUACGUGUUAUUGGGUAACCACCUUAAUCAGUUCUCAAUUAUGUGUAUCCAAAUAAUCAUAUAUGAUCCUAGCAUUUUAUCUAUGAGUGACAUUUCCAUAUACUUUAAUGUUAAGUAAUUGUCCAUUUCCA